rnacentral:lncRNA from 1 species
GAGGAUUUUUGACAGUGUACAGAGUAUUGCUUCAGACUCCUUUCAGCUGUCUGUCUCCUUAUUCGUAAACACACACGAACAGUCCCACAGCAGAUCUAAUGUGGACUUUCACAGAAGAUGUGGGUGUUUUGAAGGCAGGGUCUUCCCUGGUUGGUUGUGAAGAUCUAAGUAAACAAAGCUUGUUACUGUGGCAUAACUGA